rnacentral:rRNA from 1 species
AUGACCGGAAUUGCUGACCACACUCUGCUCACAGGAGAGUACACUACUUGGCUGCCAGAGUUUAUGGCACUCUCUACCAUGCUGCUACUCACCAGGUUUAGAAGCAAUCAGAAGCAACUAAGGCAGCGGUCAGAUCGGUUCGGCGGCGGCGGCAGGCAGGCAUCGUGCAAUGUUCUAAAUCAAGUCGGUCUCAGCGAGAUCAAUUGCGAUGGACGGAACGCAGCGCAAGGCAGGCCAGUGGGCCCAGGGCAAGCAGCAGCUGUUGUUGUGAGGCGAUCGGAUAGAUCGGGCGGCGGCAGCAUCAUAGCAGGACUGCAGAAGACUUCAACGAUUUGGGCAAGGCGUCGUGUGCACAUGGCGGCGACGCGUAUCGACGUGGAAGCCAAACUGACGAAGAGGGCAAACCUAUGCUCUGAUCAAAAGCCACAGAACGUCAAAUACUUGAAAUCGAGUCUCUGUUUCUCAAGCUGCUCCUCCUGUCCACUGUCAAGGCAGUGGUUACAGAACUUCACCCGAUGGGUUAGAUUGGUUUGUCUGCCGCUGCUUUUGUUUCUUGAUCUUGAUAGAGAAUUUCAUCAUGAAGAUUCCUGUACAGAUUGCUCAGAUUGGAAAAAUAGAAGAGGAUUGCAGAGGGCAAUCGCAGAGGAACUGGAGCUUGAAAGCUCAAUAAUGGCUAUUCUGGAUAACCAGGAUGAACAAGAUGAUUUUGAUGGAUCUGAUGAGAGAUCUAGGAAUGAGAUAACAAGUGUGUCAAGAGAGAUCAACAAUAUUCUGAAAAACAGCAGAUUUGUGUUGAUUUUUCAUAACGGUAGUGACAACGAGAUUGUUGACCUAUUCAACUUUGGUGUUCCUCCGAUUACAAGUUUUGGUGACAAUGUGAUGAUAUGGGCCUACAGAAGGAGGAUGUUGACAAUAAAAAAGUACGAAGAAGAUGAACUACUACAUGAACUGAGUGUUUCCAAGAAUAAUUCUAAUUGGGUUGAUGUUGCUUCCAAUUAUUGGAUAUGUGAUGGAAUACUAGAAAAAGAUAUAACAUUGGAGACAAGUGCUGCAUUGCACCGAGAAAUAACCUGGAAAUGUGAUGAUAAUGUGCUCACAAAGUUCAAGGCACAUUUCAAGCUUUCUUUCCUCAUAGUGAAGGAAGAUGAUGUGUAUGAAGAUGGAUCAUACCGUUGGAUUUCAGUCACAUCGAGGGAUAGGGAAAUGCUUGUUUUGCAUCACCUCCUUUUCCUAAAAUGCCAUAACCUAAGAUUCAUUGGACUAGACCACUGUACAGAUGACAAAACAGGGGAAGGAGAGGAUCAUACUGAGUGGGUUUGUCUGCAUAGUUUGUGGGUAUUGGACCUAUGUUACACCCACUGGAAUGAAAUCUUAUCACCGGCAAAGAUGGAUCUCAUGCAUAACCUCAUGGAGCUAAGCAUAGAGGGGGUCUUGUGUUGGCAGUACACAACUUGCUUACAAGGGCGACUACGUAAUCUUCACAGGCUCAGGAUAAUCAAGCCUACACAUGGACCAGAUAUUUCAACAGACGCAAGCAACUCCUUCAUGGACAAGAUAAAGCUGGAAAUACUUGAUCUGUCUGGCAACAAUGAGAUGGAAAUUCUACCAAACAACCUGUCUAAGGCAAGUGGCCUUCAAGUGCUUAUUCUGGAUGGAUGCAAUGUUCUUAAAAAUGUCCUUGUGCCUGUUAGACUGCCGCUGGAUGCCGCCUCCCUUCAGGCGCCGAUCGGGACACGGAGCGUCGGCUCCCUCUUCGUGCUCCCGCCGGCUGCUACUUCGCCCGGGCAGGCGCUUGUGGCCCACACCGCCGCCGCCCCGUCAACCGCGGUUGUCGCGCCCUCGGCCACUGCGCCGCUGGCAGGCUUCGCGGCGUCAACCGCGGCCAUCGCGCCCUCUGUCACCGCGCCGGCUGCCCCUCUGACUGUCUCCACGGUGAGGGUUGUGCUGGUUCCCCCCAAAGCCUAUUGUCUUACAGUGCCUGAUGGGCUACCCCAGUUGCUGAAGUCCUUUAGCUUUGAUGGAUAUGGACCAGCUUUCCACCGGGCAAUUGCUGAGCUACCUCCCAAACAAGAACGCCCGUCGACCCCAGCAGCUAAGGAGGGUGCUAGUAUCUCUAAUAUUUCCCUAAAAGGUUGCUCAAAAUUGGCAAAUAUGUUUUUGCGUGGGUUGCCCAAACUUGUUGAGCUUGACCUCUCUGGAACUGCAAUUAGGACACUUGAUUUCAGUACUAUGGUGGUAGAAGUUCCAAUGCUGAAGCGAUUAUUUAUGCUAGGAUGUGAGCACCUUCGUGCAAUCAUUUGGGGCAACAUUACUGAUAGCUUCAAGUUGGAAUUGUUAUGCAUAGAUACGCGAGCUGGAACUGGCAGUGCUCGGCCAUGCAUUGACCGGAACAAUUUCUAUCAGUUGGAGGUGUAUGUUAUUCUGGUGGAUAAGAGGCUUGCUCGGUCGUUGUGGAAACUACUAUAUAAUCAUUAUGCAGCUGAGAAUGUUUAUCUUAAUAUCCAUGUCACCUCAGCUGUGUAUAGUGGGCCAAUUCAAUCCAAAGUGACAUACAAGGAGAAGAAGAUUGGCAUGUAUGGAGAUCAAGUCAGCCUGCCGCAGCUUGUUCAAGCAGACCGGUACAAUUAUGUCCAAAGCAUGGUUGGUGAUGCCCUGGUGCAGGACUUCCCUAAGCCUCCCACUAACAACCUGGAUCGGCAUAUCGAGAUUACUGAAGGGUGGCACGUCAUGGACAGUGGACUGGGAGAUGUCAUGAAGGGGUUUGCCGAAUCCCUGCAUGCCCAUGAUGUCUCAACAAGUGCCCCAAGUUGGACAACCAUCCACCUGCACGACCUGCCAGUGCUGCAGCAGAUCUGCGAGGUGGAGAUGGUGGCACCAAAGCUCAAUACCAUCAAGAUCAGAGGAUGCUGGGGCCUGCGCCGGCUGCCGGUGGUGGGUGCCCGCAGCGGAGACAUGAAGAAGCCGACCGUCGAGAUUGAGAAAGACGUCUGGGGCGCUCUGGACUGGGACGAGGAGGUGGCCCCUGGCCACUUUGAGGCACCGCUGCACUCACGCUACUACAAGAAGAAACUACCCAGGGUGAUCCUUGCGCUGUGCUGCACUGAUGUGGUUCUUCCAUCCUUAAUGGGAGACCAGAUGGACGCUCGCUCCUGCAGGUCCUGCUGUCUGCUGCAUGUUUGGUUUAUUGUGUGCUUCCCGGGUUGCUUGAAAGAGAUUUGCUGGUGGUGUCGGUCAUCGGUUGAUCGGCUCCUACUGCUACUGUGUGUUGUUGUGUCAGGUGUGAGCUUGUGGUGGCGCUCACCUUUGUGGCUUUCAAAUAAGAAGCAGCAUGGUUCUUGGCUGCUUGCACUGACGUGUGUGCGCGCGGAAGUAUGGCUUGCGAUUGAGGAUGCCUGCUUACUGCCUCUUGGCUGCAUGACUACGGGGCUGCCUGGUGUGGUUUGCGAGUGUGUUAAUCUGAACACAGAAGCAGCUGGUUCAGUGCAUUGGCUUGCGUUGGACCUGCUAUUAUCCGUGUGCCUGUUAUGCUUGUGGAAUAAACAGAUUGUGAUACUAGGAGAACGGAUUUCAGUUUGUGCUUCUAUUAUGCUUGGUAUCGAUGAAUUGUAUAUUGUCGUAUGCAAAACCGCCCGGAAGACCGGAGUCAUUUACAUGAAGGUGAUGCACGCGGUGGUGACAAAACUUCAUCCGAUGGUCACGGCACGUCAAAUAGUUCAAAUCGAGUCUCUGUUUCUCAAGCUGCUCCUCCUGUCUGCUGUCAAGACAUCAAUCUUGACCUUGCACCCUGUUCUAGCUAAAAUUGCACGGGGUAUUACUGGCAGUGGUUACAGAACUUCACCCGAUGGGUUAGAUUGGUUCAUCUGCUGCUGCUUUUCUUCUUGGUCUUGGUAG